GCAGCCAGGUUGGCCGUGAUGGAUACUGGCGAAUCGACCACCGCCGCCUGAUGGUGCGCUCAAUGUUGUUCUACUCCCACUGUAGGCGAGGCGGCGCCUGUGGCAUCAGGACCAUCCGGAUCUGGAUCAAUUCGUCGAGAUACAGGCCACUUCCACUGAUCUAUUAAGAGCAUAUGAUUGCUUCAGAAAGGCAAGUUCUAUGGUUGAUGAGGAGAUUCAGUAUCUUCGUCUGCCCAUGGGUUGCAACACGAGUUUGAAAUUGUGAGGAAGAGAAUGGAUGCUGAAGCAAAGAAAGCAUAUAAGUUACUUGACCAACUUCCAUAUCUCCACAAGACAUGUCUAUACUCAGUUAUGGAUACCAGCUCCACCUCUGAAAAAAAGGAAGGUCAAAGCAUUGGUUACUACACCAAACACCAGACUUCAAUACAAUUCAAAGAGCUGCAGCACCGUUGCUAAUAGAGUUUGUGCUGACAUAUUGGUAAAGAAAGCAUAUGAAGAGUGGAUGCAUGAUGUAGGAUAUGAUGGUAAGACACUCCAGAGCUUCAAGCAUAAUCUGUCGCAAGUGAUAGAGCAGCAGCUUCAACAAUUAACCAUGCUUCAAAUGGUUCAAUCAAUGCACACAAACAAUUAUUUGCGGAACAUCUAGCCAAACUUCCGCACUUACUACAAGGUAAUAAGAUCUAAACUAAGAAUCCUGAUGCAUCUUGUGAAUAUUUCAUGUUUGCACUAUUGUUUCUAUAAGGUUAUUAGUCUAAUUUGAAGUGAGUUUCAUAUCUUCAAGUUUUC